ACAUUGUCCUAAUAGAAUAAUCCCAACCUAUAAUUGUCUCAUUAAGCUAAUAAUUUUGAAAAUCCCAGUUUAGUCCUUCGAAAUACAAUUUUAAAACUAACUGUAUUAAUACAUUAAAUUAAUAUAUAAUAUACAGAACCAAUUAAAAAAAAAAAUUUUAAAAAAAUUCCCAAAUCAAAACCCCUAACCCUAAUUAUUUCAGUCUCGUUCUCUAGGCCUCUCUAAUUCUGGUGGGGACAAAGUCAACAGGUCUCUAUUGGUGGGGAGACAAAGAUACCGACUCAAAUCUCGUCUUCUCCGGCGUAAAUCUCUUCUUCUCCGGCUUAAUAUCUUCUUCUCCGGCUUAAUCUUAUUCUCUCAUGUAAAACGAAGCGCAGACACUAGAAGAUAUGUAAUUUGGCACUAAUCCUGGUACUAUCGGGUUAAUGGGUCAGUUCACCAAACCGUUGGAUCAUCUGAGUUUGUACUUAUGAAGAUAAGGAAGGAGAUAUGAUGCUCGUUGGUGAUGUUCCAUGGAGAAUGCUCAUCACCUCGGUGAAAAGGCUUCGUGUGAUGAAAACGUCUGAAGCUAAUAGUCUCGGAUACUUGUGAAGCAAGUAAAAGGAAGAAACAGAAGCUAGGUUGAUCUUAUUCAGUUUGUGAUGUUUCUUUGGUUCUUCUAAUGUUCUUUAAGGGUUUUUUUUUGGCUUGAUGUCUUUUGUUUUACUGUUGCUAUUACUAUGGAAGAGAAUGCUCUUUAUUUGUUUUACUACACUGUAAAUAUUUGAAGCUUGUCUAAUAUCAUUUUGUGGGUUUAGUUUAUGAGUUCA